rnacentral:lncRNA from 1 species
GCGGCAGGCAGUGAGGCAGCCAGCGCAGGGGCUUCUGCUGAGGGCGCAGGCGGAGCUUGAGGAAACCGCAGAUAAGUUUUUUUCACUUUGAAAGAUAGAGAUUAAUACAACUACUUAAAAAAUAUAGUCAAUAGGUUACUAAGAUAUUGCUUAGCGUUAAGCUUUUAACGUAAUUUUAAUAGCUUAAGAUUUUAAGAGAAAAUAUGAAGACUUAGAAGAGUAGCAUGACGAAGGAAAAGAUAAAAGAUUUCUAAAACAUGACGGAGGUUGAGAUGAAGCUUCUUCAUGGAGUAAAAAAUGUAUUUAAAAGAAAAUUGAGAGAAAGGACUACAGAGCCCUGAAUUAAUACCAAUAGAAGGGCAAUGCUUUUAGAUUAAAAUGAAGGUGACUUAAACAGCUUAAAGUUUACUUUAAAAGUUGUAGGUGAUUAAAAUAAUUUGAAGGCGAUCUUUUAAAAAGAGAUUAAACCGAAGGUGAUUAAAAGACCUUGAAAUCCAUGACGCAGGGAGAAUUGCGUCAUUUAAAGCCUAGUUAACGCAUUUAAACGCAGACGAAAAUGGAAAGAUUAGUUGGGAGUGGUAGGAUGAAACGAUUUGGAGAAGAUAGAAGUUUGAAGUGGAAAACUGGAAGACAGAAGUACAGGAAGGCGGAGAAAAGAAUAGAGAAGAUAGGGAAAUUAGAAGAUAAAAACAUACUUUUAGAAGAAAAAAGAUAAAUUUAAACCUGAAAAGUAGGAAGCAGAAGAAAAAAGACAAGCUAGGAAACAAAAAACUAAGGGCAAAAUGUACAAACUUAGAAGAAAAUUGGAAGAUAGAAACAAGAUAGAAAAUGAAAAUAUUGUCAAGAGUUUCAGAUAGAAAAUGAAAAACAAGCUAAGACAAGUAUUGGAGAAGUAUAGAAGAUAGAAAAAUAUAAAGCCAAAAAUUGGAUAAAAUAGCACUGAAAAAGUGAGGAAAUUAUUGGUAACCAAUUUAUUUUAAAAGCCCAUCAAUUUAAUUUCUGGUGGUGCAGAAGUUAGAAGGUAAAGCUUGAGAAGAUGAGGGUGUUUACGUAGACCAGAACCAAUUUAGAAGAAUACUUGAAGCUAGAAGGGGAAGUUGGUUAAAAAUCACAUCAAAAAAGGACUGGUGUAAUUUAAAAAAAAACUAAGGCAGAAGGCUUUUGGAAGAGUUAGAAGAAUUUGGAAGGCCUUAAAUAUAGUAGCUUAGUUUGAAAAAUGUGAAGGACUUUCGUAACGGAAGUAAUUCAAGAUCAAGAGUAAUUACCAACUUAAUGUUUUUGCAUUGGACUUUGAGUUAAGAUUAUUUUUUAAAUCCUGAGGACUAGCAUUAAUUGACAGCUGACCCAGGUGCUACACAGAAGUGGAUUCAGUGAAUCUAGGAAGACAGCAGCAGACAGGAUUCCGGGAACCAGUGUUUGAUGAAGCUAGGACUGAGGAGCAAGCGAGCAAGCAGCAGUUCGUGGUGAAGAUAGGAAAAGAGUCCAGGAGCCAGUGCGAUUUGGUGAAGGAAGCUAGGAAGAAGGAAGGAGCGCUAACGAUUUGGUGGUGAAGCUAGGAAAAAGGAUUCCAGAAAGGAGCGAGUGCGAUUUGGUGAUGAAGCUAGCAGGCGGCUUGGCUUGGCAACCACACGGAGGAGGCGAGCAGGCGUUGUGCGUAGAUAGAGGAUCCUAGACCAGCAUGCCAGUGUGCCAAGGCCACAGGGAAAACGAGUGGUUGGUAAAAAUCCGUGAGGUCGGCAAUAUGUUGUUUUUCUGGAACUUAUGGUAACCUUUUAUUUAUUUUCUAAUAUAAUGGGGGAGUUUCGUACUGAGGUGUAAAGGGAUUUAUAUGGGGAACGUAGGCCGAUUUCCGGGUGUUGUAGGUUUCUCUUUUUCAGGCUUAUACUCAUGAAUCUUGUCUGAAGCUUUUGAGGGCAGACUGCCAAGUCCUGGAGAAAUAGUAGAUGGCAAGUUUGUGGGUUUUUUUUUUUUUUUUUUUUUUUUUUACGAAUUUGAGGAAAACCAAAUGAAUUUGAUAGCCAAAUUGAGACAAUUUCAGCAAAUCUGUAAGCAGUUUGUAUGUUUAGUUGGGGUAAAUGAAGUAUUUCAGUUUUGUGAAUAGAUGACCUGUUUUUACUUCCUCACCCUGAAUUCGUUUUGUAAAUGUAGAGUUUGGAUGUGUAACUGAGGCGGGGGGGAGUUUUCAGUAUUUUUUUUUUGUGGGGGUGGGGGCAAAAUAUGUUUUCAGUUCUUUUUCCCUUAGGUCUGUCUAGAAUCCUAAAGGCAAAUGACUCAAGGUGUAACAGAAAACAAGAAAAUCCAAUAUCAGGAUAAUCAGACCACCACAGGUUUACAGUUUAUAGAAACUAGAGCAGUUCUCACGUUGAGGUCUGUGGAAGAGAUGUCCAUUGGAGAAAUGGCUGGUAGUUACUCUUUUUUCCCCCCACCCCCUUAAUCAGACUUUAAAAGUGCUUAACCCCUUAAACUUGUUAUUUUUUACUUGAAGCAUUUUGGGAUGGUCUUAACAGGGAAGAGAGAGGGUGGGGGAGAAAAUGUUUUUUUCUAAGAUUUUCCACAGAUGCUAUAGUACUAUUGACAAACUGGGUUAGAGAAGGAGUGUACCGCUGUGCUGUUGGCACGAACACCUUCAGGGACUGGAGCUGCUUUUAUCCUUGGAAGAGUAUUUCCAGUUGAAGCUGAAAAGUACAGCACAGUGCAGCUUUGGUUCAUAUUCAGUCAUCUCAGGAGAACUUCAGAAGAGCUUGAGUAGGCCAAAUGUUGAAGUUAAGUUUUCCAAUAAUGUGACUUCUUAAAAGUUUUAUUAAAGGGGAGGGGCAAAUAUUGGCAAUUAGUUGGCAGUGGCCUGUUACGGUUGGGAUUGGUGGGGUGGGUUUAGGUAAUUGUUUAGUUUAUGAUUGCAGAUAAACUCAUGCCAGAGAACUUAAAGUCUUAGAAUGGAAAAAGUAAAGAAAUAUCAACUUCCAAGUUGGCAAGUAACUCCCAAUGAUUUAGUUUUUUUCCCCCCAGUUUGAAUUGGGAAGCUGGGGGAAGUUAAAUAUGAGCCACUGGGUGUACCAGUGCAUUAAUUUGGGCAAGGAAAGUGUCAUAAUUUGAUACUGUAUCUGUUUUCCUUCAAAGUAUAGAGCUUUUGGGGAAGGAAAGUAUUGAACUGGGGGUUGGUCUGGCCUACUGGGCUGACAUUAAUUACAAUUAUGGGAAAUGCAAAAGUUGUUUGGAUAUGGUAGUGUGUGGUUCUCUUUUGGAAUUUUUUUCAGGUGAUUUAAUAAUAAUUUAAAACUACUAUAGAAACUUCAGAGCAAAGGAAGUGGCUUAAUGAUCCUGAAGGGAUUUCUUCUGAUGGUAGCUUUUGUAUUAUCAAACUUUUUUCAGAUAACAUCUUCUGAGUCAUAACCAGCCUGGCAGUAUGAUGGCCUAGAUGCAGAGAAAACAGCUCCUUGGUGAAUUGAUAAGUAAAGGCAGAAAAGAUUAUAUGUCAUACCUCCAUUGGGGAAUAAGCAUAACCCUGAGAUUCUUACUACUGAUGAGAACAUUAUCUGCAUAUGCCAAAAAAUUUUAAGCAAAUGAAAGCUACCAAUUUAAAGUUACGGAAUCUACCAUUUUAAAGUUAAUUGCUUGUCAAGCUAUAACCACAAAAAUAAUGAAUUGAUGAGAAAUACAAUGAAGAGCCAAUGUCCAUCUCAAAAUACUGCUUUUACAAAAGCAGAAUAAAAGCGAAAUGAAAUGAAAAUGUUAUACUACAUUAAUCCUGGAAUAAAAGAAGCCGAAAUAAAUGAGAGAUGAGUUGGGAUCAAGUGGAUUGAGGAGGCUGUGCUGUGUGCCAAUGUUUCGUUUGCCUCAGACAGGUAUCUCUUCGUUAUCAGAAGAGUUGCUUCAUUUCAUCUGGGAGCAGAAAACAGCAGGCAGCUGUUAACAGAUAAGUUUAACUUGCAUCUGCAGUAUUGCAUGUUAGGGAUAAGUGCUUAUUUUUAAGAGGUGUGGAGUUCUUAAAUAUCAACCAUGGCACUUUCUCCUGACCCCUUCCCUAGGGGAUUUCAGGAUUGAGAAAUUUUUCCAUCGAGCCUCUUUAAAAUUGUAGGACUUGUUCCUGUGGGCUUCAAUGAUGGGAUAGUACACUUCACUCAGAGGCAUUUGCAUCUUUAAAUAAUUUCUUAAAAGCCUCUAAAGUGAUCAGUGCCUUGAUGCCAACUAAGGAAAUUUGUUUAGCAUUGAAUCUCUGAAGGCUCUAUGAAAGGAAUAGCAUGAUGUGCUGUUAGAAUCAGAUGUUAUUGCUAAAAUUUACAUGUUGUGUUGUGAUGUAAAUUGUGUAGAAAACCAUUAAAUCAUUCAAAAUAAUAAACUAUUUUUAUUAGAGAAUGUAUACUUUUAGAAAGCUGUCUCCUUAUUUAAAUACAAUACUGUUUGUCUGUAGUUUAGUGUUGGGGCAAUCUUGGGGGGGAUUCUUCUCUAAUCUUUCAGAAACUUUGUCUGCGAACACUCUUUAAUGGACCAGAUCAGGAUUUGAGCGGAAGAACGAAUGUAACUUUAAGGCAGGAAAGACAAAUUUUAUUCUUCAUAAAGUGAUGAGCAUAUAAUAAUUCCAGGCACAUGGCAAUAGAGGCCCUCUAAAUAAGGAAUAAAUAACCUCUUAGACAGGUGGGAGAUUAUGAUCAGAGUAAAAGGUAAUUACACAUUUUAUUUCCAGAAAGUCAGGGGUCUAUAAAUUGACAGUGAUUAGAGUAAUACUUUUUCACAUUUCCAAAGUUUGCAUGUUAACUUUAAAUGCUUACAAUCUUAGAGUGGUAGGCAAUGUUUUACAUUAUUGACCUUAUAUAGGGAAGGGAGGGGGUGCCUGUGGGUUUUUAAAGAAUUUUCCUUUGCAGAGGCAUUUCAUCCUUCAUGAAGCUGUUCAGGAUUUUGAAUUGCAUAUGAGUGCUUGGCUCUUCCUUCUGUUCUCCUAACUUCACAGAGAAUGCAGUUGUCUUGACUUCAGGUCUGUCUGUUCUGUUGGCAAGUAAAUGCAGUACUGUUCUGAUCCCGCUGCUAUUAGAAUGCAUUGUGAAACGACUGGAGUAUGAUUAAAAGUUGUGUUCCCCAAUGCUUGGAGUAGUGAUUGUUGAAGGAAAAAAUCCAGCUGAGUGAUAAAGGCUGAGUGUUGAGGAAAUUUCUGCAGUUUUAAGCAGUCGUAUUUGUGAUUGAAGCUGAGUACAUUUUGCUGGUGUAUUUUUAGGUAAAAUGCUUUUUGUUCAUUUCUGGUGCUGGGAGGGGACUGAAGCCUUUAGUCUUUUCCAGAUGCAACCUUAAAAUCAGUGACAAGAAACAAAUUCCAAACAAGCAACAGUCUUCAAGAAAUUAAACUGGCAAGUGGAAAUGUUUAAACAGUUCAGUGAUCUUUAGUGCAUUGUUUUUGUGUGGGUUUCUCUCUCCCCUCCCUUGGUCUUAAUUCUUACAUGCAGGAACACUCAGCAGACACACGUAUGCGAAGGGCCAGAGAAGCCAGACCCAGUAAGAAAAAAUAGCCUAUUUACUUUAAAUAAACCAAACAUUCCAUUUUAAAUGUGGGGAUUGGGAACCACUAGUUCUUUCAGAUGGUAUUCUUCAGACUAUAGAAGGAGCUUCCAGUUGAAUUCACCAGUGGACAAAAUGAGGAAAACAGGUGAACAAGCUUUUUCUGUAUUUACAUACAAAGUCAGAUCAGUUAUGGGACAAUAG